GUCAAAAAAAAAGUCAAGCGCCAAAAAGAAGAAGGGACCUUCCCAGAGAUCAGGGGUCUCCAACCUUAGUAACUUUAACGUUUGUGGACUUCAACUCCCAGAGUUCCUCAUUCAGCAAAGCAGGCAGUCAAAGCAGGCUGUAAUCAGUAGCUGAGGAAAGUAUGGCACUGCCAGCCCGAAAGGAGCAGUAAUUAUAGGCAAGAUACUGACAAUGUGUUUGAUGCCUCUAAGUUUAAUUGAGGCAGUUAGAAAAAAUUAAAAGAUGCAUUUUUCUUUCUACAACGGAUACGUUCUCGUGAACUUCGCACAGAACUUAAAAGAAGACAAGACAAUGGUGAAUCCAACCUAUACAUCGACUACCGUGCUGAUUGCAUAAAAAAUAAAACCUACAAUCAAAAAAUCACCUCCAAACCCCCCAUCACCCAU